rnacentral:rRNA from 1 species
UGUCCAGACUCCUACGGGAGGCAGCAGUGAGGAAUAUUGGUCAAUGGCCGAGAGGCUGAACCAGCCAAGUCGCGUGAGGGAAGACGGCCCUACGGGUUGUAAACCUCUUUUGUCGGGGAGCAAAGAGAGUCACGUGUGACUCAUUGAGAGUACCCGAAGAAAAAGCAUCGGCUAACUCCGUGCCAGCAGCCGCGGUAAUACGGAGGAUGCGAGCGUUAUCCGGAUUUAUUGGGUUUAAAGGGUGCGUAGGCGGGAUGCCAAGUCAGCGGUCAAAUACGGGGGCUCAACCUGCGUCCGCCGUUGAAACUGGCGUUCUUGAGUGGGCGAGAAGUACGCGGAAUGCGUGGUGUAGCGGUGAAAUGCAUAGAUAUCACGCAGAACUCCGAUUGCGAAGGCAGCAUACCGGCGCCCGACUGACGCUGAGGCACGAAAGCGUGGGGAUCGAACAGGAUUAGAUACCCGGGUAC